rnacentral:rRNA from 1 species
UACGGGGGGGGCAAGCGUUGUUCGGAAUUACUGGGCGUAAAGGGCUCGUAGGCGGCCAACUAAGUCAGACGUGAAAUCCCCCGGCUUAACCGGGGAACUGCGUCUGAUACUGGAUGGCUUGAGUUCGGGAGAGGGAUGCGGAAUUCCAGGUGUAGCGGUGAAAUGCGCAGAUAUCAGGAGGAACACCGAUGGCGAAGGCAGGUCUCUGGGCCAUAACUGACGCUGAGAAGCGAAAGCAUGGGGAGCGAACAGG